UUUAACCACAGAUUUGAUUAUUUUUUAGGGGAAGAAACCCAUUACCCAUGUGGGUAGAUUGACAUACUGUCAGAGACUCAGAGUUAGUGAGACUUGCGUUGGGUUCAAUACUUCACAGAACCGUCCUUUCCCAUUUCUCUAUCUCUCACCCAUCCUCUACUUCUUUAUUCAGAAAGUCCUCAUCCUAUCUUCCUCUUCUUCAUAUUUUCUCCGAAACGGGUUCGAUAUUUUUGCUUAAAGGGUUUGUUCUUUCCUCCCCUGCCUAAACAUCUCUAGCCUUUUUUUCCUUUUUGUUCUCGGAUUUAGUUGUCUUAACAUUGUGGCUUGUUGUGGUUUUUUUUUCUUUGUAGGAUAAUAGGGUUGCUCCAGAUCUUCUCUCUCUGCUUGAUCAUCUUUAGCUCCAGAAGCAAGGAAAUUUGCAGAAUCUAUCUCCAGACUAUCAGGUUCUUUGUUGCCUCUUAAUCUUUAUUUCCUUUCUAUAUUUAUUGGUUUUAUUCCCCAAAAAUUUUUACCUGGUUAAUAUCUAAAUUUCGCCUAUAUUUUUCCUCAUUUAUUUGUCCAUGCUUUCUCCCAAGAUAGAUGCAGCCAAGAGAAGAUCAUCACCGAGAAACAUUGCGUGUAAUUUUGCUUCCUUGGGGUUUGUC
rnacentral:lncRNA from 1 species